AGAAGAAGCAAGGGGACAUCAUUACAACAACAAACAAAAAAAAAACGUCAAACCAAACAGCUUUCACCAGUUAUUAAAGACUAUAUACUACAUUCAUGACAUGACAUGAUCUGAGAAUUUGGGACAUUUUUUUAAGAAUUUUUAUAAAACUUUUUUUCCAUUUUUUGUUGCUAAAUAUAUAUUCAAAUCAAAAAAAUUACAUGUCCAAAAUUUUAGAGAUCAAGAUCAGUAUAUCAUUGGGCUUGACCAAAAUCCGGUCCUGGCUACGUCAUAUUUCAUUCACACAGACACAAGAUCAAGAACAAUCAGGACCAGAUUUGGGUCAAACCUAACGAACUACUGGCUUUGAUCUCUUAAUUUUUUUUUACAUUUUUUUUACAUACGUUUCAGUCCAUAAAUUAUGAAAAUAAUUUUUUUGUACAAAAGUAUAUUUAAGUCCAUAAAUUAUGAAAAUAUUUUUUUUUUACAAAAGUAUAUUUAUGAUCUCAAAUUUUCAGAUUAGGACCCGAGAACAAGGCACGAAGACACAGUCAAAACAUAUAGAAAUGAGAAAGGAAAAGACUAUCUACCAAAAGAACUCGCAACACAGUAGAUCUCAUCAACUAGAUGAUAAAAGUCUAUGAGACCGUGACAACACUUUAUAAU